rnacentral:rRNA from 1 species
CCUACGGGAGGCAGCAGUAGGGAAUCUUCCACAAUGGGCGAAAGCCUGAUGGAGCAACGCCGCGUGGGUGAAGAAGGUCUUCGGAUCGUAAAACCCUGUUGUUAGAGAAGAAAGUGCGUGAGAGUAACUGUUCACGUUUCGACGGUAUCUAACCAGAAAGCCACGUCUAACUACGUGCCAGCAGCCGCGGUAAUACGUAGGGGGCAAUCGUUAUCCGGGUUUACUGGGUGUAAAGGGAGCGUAGACGGCGAAGAAAGUCUGAUGUGAAAGACAGGUGCUCAACCCCUGGACUGCAUUGGAAACUGUUUUGCUGGGGUGCCGGAGAGAGGUACGUGGAAUGCGCGGUGUAGCGGUGAAAUGCUUAGAUAUCGCGCAGAACCCCGAUUGCGAAGGCAGCGUACCGGCUCCACACUGACGCUGAGGCACGAAAGCGUGGGUAUCGAACAGGAUUAGAUACCCCAGUAGUC